UGCCCCUUGGAAGCAGUGGUUCACUUCAUUUCAGCCUUUGAAGGAACGAGGAGGUCAGGGCAGAUUAUGAGAAAAAAGGAUUACGUACUCUGCCUGCUGUAUUUUUCCUCCUGAGUUUACAUUGACAAGUUCACAAAUAACUAUCUGUGCAACUCCAGAAGGAUUACCAACAACCUGAAGUACAUAACAGCAGUUCUAGAAAUUGGGAUUUGGGAAAUGAAUCAAUUAAUUGCUUUCUAAUUGUAAAGUGUUUGAAUAAAAUUAGCCCCAGAAGUCCCUGAUGAAAUGGAAAACACAAUCAAGCCCUUUAUUUGUUAGGGCAUUUUGUUGCACCUUCAAAACUAUCCUGAGCUCUCGUCACAUCGCCAAUACAGGUUAUGACAGUGGAGUUUAUGUGAUAGGUUUACUAUGUUUUUUGUGUGAAAUUGUGAAUAAAUGAAUUUUGAACUCAAG
rnacentral:misc_RNA from 1 species